UUAAUUUAUGAUUCGAAUUGCAUUGAUUAAUAUUAUUUUGUUAUGAAAUCUCACCCCUUCUGCUUGAAAAUGUUGCCCUUCGUAUGGGUAACUUGCAGGUGAUCGUGCUUAGUGUGCAGUUUCCGUCGUGAGUGGCCUUGCCUUCACUGUGUCGUCUAGGUCGCUCUGAUACGUAACGGGAUGGGGCUAUAUGUUAUGCAUGCUUCGUUCUAUUACGUGAAUACUAUGCUAUUUGUGAUAUUGAACUAACUCUUUUGAGAUUAUUUUGAUGGGGCCUGCGUGCCAAAACGUUUUAUGAUUAUGAUAUAAUUUCCGCUGCAAUGUUUAAGAUAUUUGGUUAAAUUAUUAUUUAACUGUUUUGGAUUAUGUUAUAUGUGAUAUCCCGUUGUUUAUGAUGCUUACUCUGAUAAAUGAUUUAAGAAAUUUGUAUAUUGGGAAAACGGGGUGUUACA
rnacentral:lncRNA from 1 species